ensembl:lncRNA
AUUAACUGCUUUUCAGUAAUAAGGCAAGGCUAAAAAAAAUUACGACAAUAUCAGGGGAUAUGAUUUUGAAGAAAAUGCUACAAUUUCAAGAAACAGUACUUGUAAUACAUUUCUUUUGAAAUAUAACUUUUCCAUAGCAGAAACUGUCCUCUACUAAAUGUCAGUGCAAUACCCAUUUUCACUCAAGGUCAAACGCUACCAUCUUGAAUCUUUACCAGACUCUGGAAUGGGGUUGUCAUGCCGACACCAGUGCAAUCAGCACCAUUCUCUCUUUGCCUGUCUCUGCACGCUGUCCCCAUUGCCACACCCCUCUCAGUGACCUCAUGAGACUGGCCCAGCCCAAGCAGAGUCGUGCUGGGAUUGGCCAUAAUCCGCCGGGCUGAGUAGGCUUGCCUGCUGCCCUAAGAGGGCCUGAGCCUGUUUUAUCUCCCAAUCCCCACCGAGAAUCCCUCCACACACUCGCUGACGUGAGGCGCCGACACAGUCAUCAUGUCAUACCCCGUCACAGACAGAAGGACUGUACACGGGAGCAGGGCUGGGCCCUUCAGUCAUCAGCUCAAUCUGUUCGGAUUGUACCACAGUGCAUCAAAGGCUUCUCUUAUUUACCUCUGGUUUAAUCCUGUAAUCUUGUCCAGUGUUUUUUUCCUUUCCCCCAUUCUCCCAAACCCCUAGUGGUCUAGGCUUCAUUGACUGUACCUUUUUAAAGGCAUUUUCUAUAAUGACUCGUCACAUUCUGAGACCCAAGUGUGUGUAGCCUUGGCAGGAUUGUAAUGCCUCAGUUAGCACACUGAUCUGCUUGCUAAUUAUAGACUUCUUUGGCUAACCCACUUUCUCGACUGGAGUGAAAGGGUAAAGCCCUCUAGCCAGAAGAGGUCAUGUGAUCUGAGUGGUGACCUUUGACCUCCCACACAGUCUCAACAGGAACCCUGGAGCAGGUACACUGUACAGUGCCCUCUUGAUGAACCGAGUUUUUAGAAAAUUGGCUGGUAACAGCUGAGCCUCAGAGUCAAUUCAAACUGAUCAAUUACCACAUGACAAGCUAAAAGGAUCCAAUACAAAAUGAUCAACUGUACCACCUCCGCCAAUGAUUUCAUUUAAGUGAAAACUGAAUACAAGCAAUGAUAAUUUCACUGACAGGCCUAUUAGGAUGCAUUAAGGCUCAUGCCGCAGGUAAACACAAUGACUCAAUCUACGAAUUACUUUUUUGUGGCACCUAGCAUAAGCAGGUGUUAACUAUGCACACCGUCAAAGUACACACAACACCGUGAUCAAUACCUUUAGCCAAACUGUAUAGGUAUGAAUGUAUACUGCUUAAUAUAUACAUGUGGUAUAUUCACAGACAGAGGGCCGUAAUGUGAGAGAUGCGCACCACAAAGAUGGAAAAGAUCACGUCGAUUACUACUCGUCAUAACUCAUUUUGAUUACUAGUGCACAUUCAUUUGGUAAUUUCAUAACAUGCACACAGACUUAAGCAUCUUAGAGGCUCAUUUGGGUGUGUCUGAUCUGAAAGGUAGGCGUUGCAUGGAAAUUGUUUUAAGGAAGGCAUUUUGCCCCUUUCUUCUUUGAAAUGUAACCUGCAUCUUGGUUUUCAGCAUCUGGCCGACACACCCAACAUAAUCUCUUCACAGUAUGACAGCAUUACAUUGACCACUCGCUAUCAUUUAACUCAACAAAAUAUUACCAAAAGGCUACGUAGGCUAUGCAACUAUGCUCAACAGCACACAGACGGUGAAUAAAAUAAUCCAGUAGCCUAUCAUUCAUCACGGCCUUCAUGCGCAACUGAAAGUAAGGCAGAAAACUAAUAUUUAUUUUAGUUCUACAGCAUAGAACUCACUCGGUUUAGACCACUGAUCAACGCAUUCUCCCAUUUGGCUGUUAAGCACUUUGAGCUGCAUUGUUUUGUAUGAAAGGUGCUAUACAAAUAAAGUUUAUUAUUAUUAUUUACCGUUCUAAUAUAGCCUAACGACGCUCAGCAUAGUGGCACUGAAGAUAGGGGAGUGUAACUUCUCUCCCUACAAAGGGGAUAAUUCCAUAAAAUAUUUGUUUAGUUUUCACUAUUCAUUAAAUAUGUUUUGUUUACACGGGUAAGUUGACAUUUCACAGAGGCACCUACCAC